UGGGGAAUUUUGGACAAUGGGCGAAAGCCUGAUCCAGCAAUGCCGCGUGUGUGAAGAAGGCCUUCGGGUUGUAAAGCACUUUUGUCCGGAAAGAAAUCCUUGGCUCUAAUACAGUCGGGGGAUGACGGUACCGGAAGAAUAAGCACCGGCUAACUACGUGCCAGCAGCCGCGGUAAUACGUAGGGUGCAAGCGUUAAUCGGAAUUACUGGGCGUAAAGCGUGCGCAGGCGGUUUGCUAAGACCGAUGUGAAAUCCCCGGGCUCAACCUGGGAACUGCAUUGGUGACUGGCAGGCUAGAGUAUGGCAGAGGGGGGUAGAAUUCCACGUGUAGCAGUGAGAUGCGUAGAGAUGUGGAGGAAUACCGAUGGCGAAGGCAGCCCCCUGGGCCAAUACUGACGCUCAUGCACGAAAGCGUGGGGAGCAAACAGGAUUAGAUACCCUGGUAGUCCACGCCCUAAACGAUGUCAACUAGUUGUUGGGGAUUCAUUUCCUAGUAACGUAGCUAACGCGUGAAGUUGACCGCCUGGGGAGUACGGUCGCAAGAUUAAAACUCAAAGGAAUUGACGGGGUCAUAGCUGUUUCCU
rnacentral:rRNA from 1 species